GGAUGUGAGGGCGAUCUGGCUGCGACAUCUGUCACCCCAUUGAUCGCCAGGGUUGAUUCGGCUGAUCUGGCUGGCUAGGCGGGUGGCCCCCUCCCCCCUCC
rnacentral:snRNA from 1 species